AGAUAAUGACCCACGCCCUGGGCGGUUCGGGGGAAGAGGCAGAGUGUUGCAUGGACAAAUGAGAGGGCGGUGUUACAAAUGUGGCCUUCGUGGCCACCGAGCGGCGACAUGCGACGCACG